rnacentral:rRNA from 1 species
UACGUAGGGGGCAAGCGUUGUCCGGAUUUAUUGGGCGUAAAGAGCGUGUAGGCGGCCUGGAAGGUCAGCUGUGAAAACUCGAGGCUCAACCUCGAGACGUCGGUUGAAACCACCUGGCUAGAGUCCGGAAGAGGAGAGUGGAAUUCCCGGUGUAGCGGUGAAAUGCGCAGAUAUCGGGAAGAACACCCGUGGCGAAGGCGGCUCUCUGGGACGGUACUGACGCAUGAG